rnacentral:rRNA from 1 species
UACAACGAGUCGCAAGACCGCGAGGUUUAGCAAAUCUCUUAAAGCCGUUCUCAGUUCGGAUUGUAGGCUGCAACUCGCCUACAUGAAGUCGGAAUCGCUAGUAAUCGCGGAUCAGCAUGCCGCGGUGAAUACGUUCCCGGGCCUUGUACACACCGCCCGUCACACCAUGAGAGUUUGUAACACCCAAAGCCGGUGGGGUAACCUUUUGGAGCCAGCCGUCUAAGGUGGGACAGAUGAUUGGGGUGAAGUCGUAACAAGGUAAC